GGGAAACGCAUGCGCUCGCUCCGGCGCCCGAAUAAAGUUCCUUGGAUGUCGCUGUGCUUGGAAGAAAGUUGUGGGUUGGCCUCAACACUGCCUCUUGUGUGCUUGGGCUUGGCACGUGGGCAAGAACAGGCGUGAAGUGCAGGCAUACGAGACAAGAGCCUGAGAGCCUUUACAUGCAAGGUAUUGGCAGCGAGGAGUUACGGAGUCGCCAUCUAUCGGAAGUGCCUGGCUGGCGUAGUAUGAGGGAUCACGCGGCGCGCUCCUCAUAGGUUUUGCUGUCAACGCUCACUGAAAACACCACGCGCGAGCUCUCCCGGACAUUUCUAUGCUAUCUCUUUACCGAAUAUGUACAGUGAACGCCACUAUGCGCGGUCGCCACGAUGGAGUCUCCCGAACCGGCUUCUUGCAUGAAAGGCCUGUAGGACCAACAUGCUUGCUUCAGAUGAGGGGACACUCGAGAAGGAAAUUGAACACUUCUUCUAUAAAUGCUGUGAUCAGGAAUCCAAAGAUGAACCAGGCCUCCUCAAUUUCGGAAGAUACUUUGCAAACCAUUAUGCACCACAGGCUGAAAGCUGGGCUACGUGUUUUAGAAAGAGCGUAGGCAUAGACACAAACAUGUGUUUGUGUUUAUGCUUAAGUACUGCUACCCACAUGGCGAAACGAACGAAAGAGUGGGCACGUUAAUAUCAGUACUUCUAAAGCCGACAAGAGAUAGGAUAUUCGACCGCCUUGCAAAAUUUGAAUGUUGCAACCUGAUCAGACACACAGAAGGCCUAACCAUCGAACCUGACCAAGUCAGUGGUGUAGCUUUCCAUCAGUGGUCAGUAUUUUCACGAACAUACCCCAAGACAAAAUAUGCUGUGGUGCUAGAAAGCAAGUGCAGCAAUGCAUGCAGAUUUGCAUGCCCCAAAUGCAGUCUGUAUGCACAAGGUCAUGUGUUCUCGUGCAGACAACAAGCCAGGCAGAAACCUCUGUAAGCACAUCCACACUGUUUGCCAGUGGAACUGCAAGAAGCAACAAUCUGGAGAUUGACACGGGCGACGGGACAUACCAUAGAUGUGUUUACAGAACAUUUAUGAAAUUUUCAGAAUAUGGUUUACUUUUGGAGCUGCCACAAAAUACAUCUUAAGCUCCUUCGGGGCAAUAAACAUUUCCAUUUGGCAGAGAAAACACCCUUUCAAGAAAGUUGCAGACAGUUCUGAAAAGGAAAUGGUUCUGCCUUACAGUGCCUUCAAAGUGGAAACUCCCUAGUCCAGGCACCUUUUGUGGCAAAGGUGUAUAUUCUGUGUGCAAACAGGUAUGUAAUGUACAGGGGAUGGCAAUAAAGACUAGUUGUAAGUCAGUGCC